AGGACAAGAGCCAAGAACACGAGGUUGUCUCAGUCAUGAGACAUCACCGUGGCCGGGACAGGGACCUGAAUCAGCAGGGUCAUUCCUGGAACAGGAGAAUUUCCCUGGUGAGAUGAGGCAGGACCAGUCCUUAUUAAGGAGACAUGACAUGGCUGGGCACAGAACAGAUUUCAGAUCUCUGGAGACCAGAAGGCCCACCUCUUCAGGGGGAUUAGGGCCUUGGGAGGUGAGUCAUAAGAGGAACUUCGAAGAGGUCUCCACGGACUCGGCACUAUGAAGCUAUUUCUCCUUCUCGUCUUCGUCGUCCUCUUCAACUCUCAAGUAAUGCCAGGUUAUAGGCACGGUGAAGUGUAUCAUUUCUGUGACUCACAUACAAGCGUGUGCCUGAGGAGGAAAAGAAACUGUAUGAUUCGCAUGCCGGGGAUAUGCCCCGGAAGGAGCUUCUGUUGCAUAAGGAUGCAUAAGUGAAUGGAAGAAUUCGUGUUUAAUGAAUCUACCCUGAAUUAAGUAAACUGAAGAAGUCACGCUUAAUGGACCUACCCUGAAUUAAAUUGGAAGGCUGAGGCCUCAUGAUACCA